UACAGAGGGUGCGAGCGUUGUCCGGAAUCACUGGGCGUAAAGGGCGCGUAGGUGGCGGCCCAAGUCCAUGGUGAAAGCUCGCCGCUCAACGGCGAGUCGGCCACGGAUACUGGGUUGCUCGAGCACUGUAGGGGCAGAUGGAAUUCCGGGUGUAGCGGUGGAAUGCGUAGAGAUCCGGAAGAACACCAGUGGCGAAGGCGGUCUGCUGGGCAGUAGCUGACACUGAUGCGCGACAGCGUGGGGAGCAAACAGG
rnacentral:rRNA from 1 species